rnacentral:lncRNA from 1 species
CUGAUAUCUAUAGAUCAUGGUUUUCCGGCCAAUACUUUUUCAAUGAUAUUUUGACCAGUCGUCAAACAUUUUAGUUUCGGAAUGUUUGUAUCUGUGUUUAAUGACAGGGAAUUAUAUCUGUUUAGAAAGAAACUAGUACGCUUGAAUCAAAUUAAACGUAUGCAGCAACAUAACUGAUAUCUAUAGAUCAUGGUUUUCCGGCCAA